rnacentral:rRNA from 1 species
GGUUAAAAAGCUCGUAGUUGGAUCUCGGCAAGUAGAGGGCGGUAUGCUUCGUAGCAUUACUGCCCUAUUACUUGUAGUUUUGCCAGAGGUUCCUGGGUGCUCUUAAUCGAGUGUCUAGGGAUGCUGGCAGGUUUACUUUGAAAAAAUUAGAGUGCUCAAAGCAGGCUAUUACGCUUGAAUACUCGUGCAUGGAAUGAUAGAAUAGGAAGUUGUUUCUAUUUUGUUGGUUUUCGGAAAUCGACUUAAUGAUUAAUAGGGACAGUCGGGGGGCAUUUGUAUUCAAACGACAGAGGUGAAAUUCUUGGACCGUUUGAAGACAAACUACUGCGAAAGCAUUUGCCAAGAAUGUUUUCAUUAAUCAAGAACGAAAGUUAGAGGUUCGAAGGCGAUUAGAUACCGCCCUAGUUCUAACCAUAAACGAUGCCAGCUAGCGAUCUGAGGACGUUUUUUUUGUAGACUCCUCAGGAAGCUUCCGGGAAACCAAAACGUGUGGGUUCCGGGGGAAGUAUGGUUGCAAAGCUGAAACUUAAAGGAAUUGACGGAAGGGCACCACCAGGAGUGGAGCCUGCGGCUUAAUUUGACUCAACACGGGAAAUCUCACCAGGCCCGGACACUGGAAGGAUUGACAGAUUGAGAGCUCUUUCUCGAUUCGGUGGGUGGUGGUGCAU